UUCCGGUUGAUCCUGCCAGAGGCCAUUGCUAUUGGGAUCCGAUUUAACCAUGCUAGUCGUACGAGUUCAGACUCGUGGCGAAUAGCUCAGUAACACGUGGCCAAACUACCCUUCGGACCGCAAUACCCUCGGGAAACUGAGGCUAAUAGCGGACACCACACGCAGACUGGAAUGUCGCGUGUGUCAAACGCUCCGGCGCCGAAGGAUGUGGCUGCGGCCGAUUAGGUAGACGGUGGGGUAACGGCCCACCGUGCCAAUAAUCGGUACGGGUCAUGAGAGUGAGAACCCGGAGACGGAAUCUGAGACAAGAUUCCGGGCCCUACGGGGCGCAGCAGGCGCGAAACCUUUACACUGCACGCCAGUGCGAUAAGGGGAUCCCAAGUGCGUAGGCAUAGAGCCUACGCUUUUGUCCACCCUAGGGUGGUGGACGAAUAAGGGCUGGGCAAGACCGGUGCCAGCCGCCGCGGUAAUACCGGCAGCCCGAGUGAUGGCCGAUCUUAUUGGGCCUAAAGCGUCCGUAGCUGCCCGCACGAGUCCAUCGGCAAAUCCACCUGCUCAACAGGUGGGCGUCCGGUGGACACUGUGUGGCUUGGGACCGCAAGGCGCGACGGGUACGUCUGGGGUAGGAGUGAAAUCCCGUAAUCCUGGACGGACCGCCGAUGGCGAAAGCACGUCGCGAAGCCGGAUCCGACAGUGAGGGCCGAAAGCUAGGGUCUCGAACCGGAUUAGAUACCCGGGUAGUCCUAGCCGUAAACACUGCCUGCUAGGUGUGGCACCCACUACGAGUGGGUGCUGUGCCGUAGGGAAGCCGCUAAGCAGGCCGCCUGGGAAGUACGUCCGCAAGGAUGAAACUUAAAGGAAUUGGCGGGGGAGCACUACAACCGGAGGAGCCUGCGGUUUAA
rnacentral:rRNA from 1 species